CCUACGGGUGGCUGCAGUAAGGAAUAUUGGUCAAUGGGCGCAAGCCUGAACCAGCCAUGCCGCGUGCAGGAAGACGGCCUUAUGGGUUGUAAACUGCUUUUAAUCAGGAAUAAACCCCCGUUCGUGAGCGGGGUUGAAGGUACUGGUUGAAUAAGCACCGGCUAACUCCGUGCCAGCAGCCGCGGUAAUACGGAGGGUGCAAGCGUUAUCCGGAUUUAUUGGGUUUAAAGGGUGCGCAGGCGGGCUGAUCAGUCAGUGGUGAAACCCCGGGGCUC
rnacentral:rRNA from 1 species